GCUGACGUUGCUCCAUUGUGUGCUAAUAAUAUAUGGAAACUCGGAUCAUUUUGGCUGGGGUGCAAAGUGGAGCUCUUCCAAGAAUCUGCUCCAGGGGCCCUCGAGUAUGAACUCUUGGAGAACAAACUGGAUAACAAAGGCCAGAUUGUGAUCUCUUUUCCUCCAGGAAAACCUUGGACUAGCCCAUUGCUUUUUGAGCACAUAAGAAAAUACAUAUUAUCCAGUGAGCAGCAAGUGCCCCAGCUGUAGCCCUGCCUUUCCCAUUAACAAAACGUUGGGUCUGAGCUCCACCUGAACAUUACCUCUGUGGUAACCAGAGCUCAAUCUCAGUACCAGCAUGGUUGACCUACUUGGAGAUCAGGAGGAAUCUUAAGUCCUGGCCCUACUCAGGAUUGUGGAUCUCCAAGUUUCCCAUCUCAUUUUGAGCUGAGACAUCCAAGGGAAGGAUGAAUUUGCCUUACUGCAAACAUCUGGUGAGAGCUCCUGCACAGCACCUUCUCAGGGAGGUGUGUUCUACUCCUUGUCUCGCCUUGUGCUGACACAGGCUCAGCCUCAAAUGCUCCUGAAGCCUGAGGAGAUCCUGAUGUAGCUGGUUCUUUGAAUGGUGCUGCUUUCUUUGCAUUUAACAGGCUCAUCUGCACUGCUGAGGGGGUCUUGUGGCCCCAAAUCCGGCCUGAGGGGUUCUUGUGGCCCCAAAUCCGGCCUGAGGGGGUCUUGUGGCCCCAAAUCUGGCCUGCUUUUCCCAGAGGCACAGGGCAAAUCAGGCAGAUGCUAAGCAGGUGGAGGGUGGUUCAUGCUUGGAUCCCAAGGUAUUAAUCCCCAGAUAUCUGGAUUCAGAGAGCCAGACUGGUUCCUCCAGCUGCAUGCUGGACACAGAUCGCCCAAGAAAACCCUGAGGCUAUUUAGGAGGGCUGCAGGGAGGCUGGGACAGGUGAUGUGCACAGCUUGGUGUGUCCUACAGCCAACACAGCGCUGCCAUCAGGCCAGGGCCAAACCCCAGGUCUUCUGGGAAUAAUCAGUGCCCCAAACUCACAUCCAUCCAUCUCUUUGUGUAACUGUGCUUCCCCAUGUCUUUAAAUAACCCUGCCUGGCUUUUACUCCUGACUUAGCAGAGAUGAAUGUCCACCUCAAGCUUUUCUGGAAAGGUUCCCCUUCCUGCUCCUGCGAGCUUGGGGUCAGCCCAGCACAGCAUUAGCCAGGCACUUCACUGGGAGAAGCUACAAAACAUUUGGGCCUCCAGGGCUGCCACUGAGAGAGCUUAAAGCUGAGUUGUGUGACAGCAAGGAAGAAUAGAUAGGGCGAUAGAAAAACUGCCAUGGCUUCAGACAAUAAAGACUGUGUCUCCCUUGUGAUGAAUAAUGGCUCUUUGUUUUAUUCCUUAGAUG